rnacentral:rRNA from 1 species
CUAACACAUGCAAGUCGAACGGUAACAGGUCUUCGGAUGCUGACGAGUGGCGCACGGGUGAGUAACGCGUGGAUAUCUGCCUAUUAGUGGGGGACAACUACAGGAAACUGUAGCUAAUACCGCAUAAUCUCUACGGAGGAAAGCAGGGGACCUUUCGGGGCCUUGCGCUGAUAGAUGAGUCCGCGUCUGAUUAGCUAGUUGGUAAGGUAAUGGCUUACCAAGGCGAUGAUCAGUAACUGGUUUGAGAGGAUGAUCAGUCACACUGGAACUGAGACACGGUCCAGACUCCUACGGGAGGCAGCAGUGGGGAAUAUUGCACAAUGGGGGAAACCCUGAUGCAGCGACGCCGCGUGCGGGAAGAAGGCCUUCGGGUUGUAAACCGCUUUCAAUUGGGAAGAAGAGAUGAGAGCUAAUAUCUCUCUGAUUUGACGGUACCUUUAGAAGAAGCACCGGCUAAUUUCGUGCCAGCAGCCGCGGUAAUACGAAAGGUGCAAGCGUUGUUCGGAUUUACUGGGCGUAAAGAGAUCGUAGGUGGUUUGUUAAGUCGGAUGUGAAAUCCCAGGGCUCAACCCUGGAACUGCAUCCGAUACUGGCAGGCUAGAGUUUGGGAGGGGUAAGCGGAAUUCCGUGUGUAGCAGUGAAAUGCGUAGAUAUACGGAGGAACACCUGAGGCGAAGGCGGCUUACUGGACCAAUACUGACACUGAGGAUCGAAAGCGUGGGUAGCAAACAGGAUUAGAUACCCUGGUAGUCCACGCCCUAAACGAUGUCAACUAGCCGUUGCGGGUAUCGACCCCUGCAGUGGCGAAGCUAACGCGAUAAGUUGACCGCCUGGGGAGUACG